rnacentral:rRNA from 1 species
AUUGAACGCUGGCGGCAGGCCUAACACAUGCAAGUCGAACGAGUGGCGGACGGGUGAGUAAUGUCUGGGAAACUGCCUGAUGGAGGGGGAUAACUACUGGAAACGGUAGCUAAUACCGCAUACCAUCAGAUGUGCCCAGAUGGGAUUAGCUAGUUGGUGGGGUAACGGCUCACCAAGGCGACGAUCCCUAGCUGGUCUGAGAGGAUGACCGGCACCACGUGAACGGAGACACGGUCCAGACUCCUCCGGGAGGAAGCAGUGGGGAAGUUUGGACAAUGGGGGAAAGCCUGAUGCAGCCAUGCCGCGUGUAUGAAGAAGGCCUUCGGGUGGUAAAGUACUUUCAGCGGGGAGGCGUUACCCGCAGAAGAAGCACCGGCUAACUCCGUGCCAGCAGCCGCGGUAAUUC